rnacentral:rRNA from 1 species
GACGAACGCUGGCGGCGUGCCUAAUACAUGCAAGUUGAGCGCUGAAGGUUGGUACUUGUACCGACUGGAUGAGCAGCGAACGGGUGAGUAACGCGUGGGGAAUCUGCCUUUGAGCGGGGGACAACAUUUGGAAACGAAUGCUAAUACCGCAUAAAAACUUUAAACACGAGUUUUAAGUUUGAAAGAUGCAAUUGCAUCACUCAAAGAUGAUCCCGCGUUGUAUUAGCUAGUUGGUGAGGUAAAGGCUCACCAAGGCGAUGAUACAUAGCCGACCUGAGAGGGAUCGGCCACAUUGGGACUGAGACACGGCCCAAACUCCUACGGGAGGCAGCAGUAGGGAAUCUUCGGCAAUGGACGAAAGUCUGACCGAGCAACGCCGCGUGAGUGAAGAAGGUUUUCGGAUCGUAAAACUCUGUUGGUAGAGAAGAACGUUGGUGAGAGUGGAAAGCUCAUCAAGUGACGGUAACUACCCAGAAAGGGACGGCUAACUACGUG